rnacentral:snRNA from 1 species
GCCACCACGUCUGGCCGCAUAUACUAAAAUUGGAAUGUUACAGAGAAGAUUAGCAUGGCCCCCAUGCAAGGAUGGCAGGCAAAUUUGUGAAGUGUUCUGUAUUUUU